rnacentral:rRNA from 1 species
CGGACGGGUGAGUAACGCGUGAGCAACCUGCCUUUCAGAGAGGGAUAACGUUUGGAAACGAACGCUAAUACCGCAUGACAUUAUCUUAUCGCAUGGUAGGAUAAUCAAAGGAGCAAUCCGCUGAAAGAUGGGCUCGCGUCCGAUUAGGUAGUUGGUGGGGUAACGGCCCACCAAGCCGACGAUCGGUAGCCGGACUGAGAGGUUGGACGGCCACAUUGGGACUGAGACACGGCCCAGACUCCUACGGAAGGCAGCAG